rnacentral:rRNA from 1 species
GUUCGGAUUGUAGUCUGCAACCCGACUACAUGAAGCUGGAAUCGCUAGUAAUCGCGAAUCAGAAUGUCGCGGUGAAUACGUUCCCGGGUCUUGUACACACCGCCCGUCACACCAUGGGAGUCGGAAAUGCCCGAAGUCAGUGACCUAACCGAAAGGGAGGAGCUGCCGAAGGUGGAGCCGGUAACUGGGGUGAAGUCGUAACAAGGUACC